rnacentral:snRNA from 1 species
ACCCUCAUCUAAUAGAAACA